rnacentral:rRNA from 1 species
UAGGGAAUCUUCCACAAUGGACGAAAGUCUGAUGGAGCAACGCCGCGUGAGUGAUGAAGGGUUUCGGCUCGUAAAACUCUGUUGUUGGAGAAGAACGGGCGUCAGAGUAACUGUUGACAUCGUGACGGUAUCCAACCAGAAAGCCACGGCUAACUACGUGCCAGCAGCCGCGGUAAUACGUAGGUGGCAAGCGUUGUCCGGAUUUAUUGGGCGUAAAGCGAGCGCAGGCGGUUUUUUAGGUCUGAUGUGAAAGCCUUCGGCUUAACCGGAGAAGUGCAUCGGAAACCGGGAGACUUGAGUGCAGAAGAGGACAGUGGAACUCCAUGUGUAGCGGUGAAAUGCGUAGAUAUAUGGAAGAACACCAGUGGCGAAGGCGGCUGUCUGGUCUGCAACUGACGCUGAGGCUCGAAAGCAUGGGUAGCGAACAGGAUUAGAUACCCUGGUAGUCCAUGCCGUAAACGAUGAGUGCUAAGUGUUGGAGGGUUUCCGCCCUUCAGUGCUGCAGCUAACGCAUUAAGCACUCCGCCUG